UGUCGUCAGCUCGUGUUGUGAAAUGUUGGGUUAAGUCCCGCAACGAGCGCAACCCUUAUCCUUGUUUGCCAGCGAGUAAUGUCGGGAACUCCAGGGAGACUGCCGGUGAUAAACCGGAGGAAGGUGGGGACGACGUCAAGUCAUCAUGGCCCUUACGAGUAGGGCUACACACGUGCUACAAUGGCGCAUACAGAGGGCGGCGAACUUGCGAGAGUGAGCGAAUCCCAAAAAGUGCGUCGUAGUCCGGAUUGGAGUCUGCAACUCGACUCCAUGAAGUCGGAAUCGCUAGUAAUCGUAGAUCAGAAUGCUACGGUGAAUACGUUCCCGGGCCUUGUACACACCGCCCGUCACACCAUGGGAGUGGGCUGCAAAAGAAGUGGGUAGUUUAACCUUUCGGGGAGGACGCUCACCACUUUGUGGUUCAUGACUGGGGUGAAGUCGUAACAAGGUAGCCCUAGGGGAACCUGGGGCUGGAUCACCUCCUUA
rnacentral:rRNA from 1 species